UAGCUAGUUGGUGAGGUAAAGGCUUACCAAGGCGACGAUCUGUAGCGGGUCUGAGAGGAUGAUCCGCCACACUGGAACUGAGACACGGUCCAGACUCCUACGGGAGGCAGCAGUGGGGAAUUUUGGACAAUGGGGGCAACCCUGAUCCAGCCAUGCCGCGUGAGUGAAGAAGGCCUUCGGGUUGUAAAGCUCUUUCGGCCGGGAAGAAAUCGCAUGGGCCAAUACCCUGUGUGGAUGACGGUACCGGAAUAAGAAGCACCGGCUAACUACGUGCCAGCAGCCGCGGUAAUACGUAGGGUGCGAGCGUUAAUCGGAAUUACUGGGCGUAAAGCGUGCGCAGGCGGUUUUGUAAGACAGGCGUGAAAUCCCCGGGCUUAACCUGGGAACUGCGUUUGUGACUGCAAGGCUAGAGUACGGCAGAGGGGGGUGGAAUACCACGUGUAGCAGUGAAAUGCGUAGAGAUGUGGAGGAACACCAAUGGCGAAGGCAGCCCCCUGGGUCGAUACUGACGCUCAUGCACGAAAGCGUGGGUAGCAAACAGGAUUAGAUACCCUGGUAGUCCACGCCCUAAACUAUGUCAACUAGGUGUUGGGUGGGUAAAACCAUUUAGUACCGUAGCUAACGCGUGAAGUUGACCGCCUGGGGAGUACGGCCGCAAGGUUAAAACUCAAAGGAAUUGACGGGGACCCGCACAAGCGGUGGAUGAUGUGGAUUAAUUCGAUGCAACGCGAAAAACCUUACCUACCCUUGACAUGCCAGGAACUUGCCAGAGAUGGCUUGGUGCCCGAAAGGGAGCCUGGACACAGGUGCUGCAUGGCUGUCGUCAGCUCGUGUCGUGAGAUGUUGGGUUAAGUCCCGCAACGAGCGCAACCCUUGUCGUUAAUUGCCAUCAUUUAGUUGGGCACUUUAACGAGACUGCCGGUGACAAACCGGAGGAAGGUGGGGAUGACGUCAAGUCCUCAUGGCCCUUAUGGGUAGGGCUUCACACGUCAUACAAUGGUCGGUACAAAGGGUUGCCAAGCCGCGAGGCGGAGCCAAUCCCAGAAAGCCGAUCGUAGUCCGGAUUGCAGGCUGCAACUCGCCUGCAUGAAGUCGGGAUCGCUAGUAAUCGUGGAUCAGCAUGUCACGGUGAAUACGUUCCCGGGUCUUGUACACACCGCCCGUCACACCAUGGGAGCGGGUUCCGCCAGAAGUAGGUAGCCUAACCGCAAGGGGGGCGCUUACCACGGCGGGGUUCGUGACUGGGGUGAAGUCGAAACAAGGUAGCCGUAGGGGAACCUGCGGCUG
rnacentral:rRNA from 1 species